UACGGCCCUGCUGGGAAGACGCAUUGAUGAUGGCGCUGAGAGAAAGGCUUGGAAGCUUGGGAUUUGGGAAAACAGUUCUGGAAGAAAGUGUGUUGUCCUCGCCCACGAAUACGAUACCUCUCAUUGGUUAGGUCUGGCUUUCUUCUUCAGACAUUUUCCCUUCGAGUAUGAAGUGUGUAUCCCCAUGACCAGGCCUCUACCUACACAAUUGGAUGGAUCAAUAGCCCUCAUUCCAAUGGAUUCGAUGUUUGUCAACUCUCUGGGUCUUCCACUUCCUGUGGUGAACCUUCUCAAGAAUCGCAUUAUUUACCCACCCAGGCAGGACAAUAGGAUCAGAAUUGGGCCCUUUGUGUGGGUGUAGGCCACUUACCAGCUGAUAUUGUUAGACGUGUCGGAAUGGACUUUCUUGCCAGCACAGGUGCUAGGAGCUGUAAUUAAGAGCGAAACAGUUACUCAAUAUUAACUCUUUCAAUGUCUUGAGAGACAUUGUCAAUCAGAAAGAUUUCAUUGUUUAAGAGGGCAUUUAGGAAAAAAAAAUUGAACGUUCAUUUGAUAGCCACUGGCUGUUGGUUUCCAAUUAGUUUGUAGAUUUUCUUGUAAUAGGACAUUAUCAUGUAAAUGACUAAUCUCAAUCUCUGGGAAGCCAAUAUUCUAAACAGACUUUUCUAAAUGAUGCUUGCAUAAAAUGUUCUUUAACUCCAAUUUGAAAUAAAAAUGUAGAUACCCCCGGACAACAGUCUAAAUCUGGGGUUUUCCUCACCUCUCGUCCCCUAGGAUAACAGUCUCAAUCCCAACUUUGCCCUCCAUGUAUACUCAAUUUAAAGCCUGUUGUAAAGGGUCCAUAGUGAAUUAUAAAUGAGUAUCAUCUAACAUUCUAAUGUUUAUAAAGGUGUAUAGGCAGUUUAUUUUUUCAGCCGUUGAUUCUGUGUGAAAAUGUGAAAUUCUCAAUACAUUUCUUUAUAUCCAUAUCAUAUAUGUCAUUUCUGUCUUAGAACAUAAUUAUUCAUGAUGUGAUCUCUUAAUGAUUCAAAAUAGUUAAAUGCACUUUACCAAAAUUUACAUUUUUAAUUUGAAUAAAUAUGUAAGCUAAAUACUGGGUGACUGUGCAUAACAAAUUCUAAUGACAACUUAGCAGAUGCUACAGAAAAUUAGAAAAUUCAUCUUGAAAUUUUUCGAAAAGUGGUAACACGAUAGCAAAAAUGUUUCAAAUGGGCACACUCGAUUCAAUUCAUGUUAAUAAUUCCAGCUUUCAAACGCUUCCUGAACGCAGCUUAUGUGAGUGGAUUAUAUAAAGAGGAUUAUCUAGGGAUUAAUUCUACACCUUUAGGAAAUGGUCACUGGGAGAUUGUUUGUCUCUUUUCCAUUUAUAAGCUAUUAUAUCAUAAUAAAAUGAAGAAUCCGGAAUAUAUUUAGAGAAUAAAAAGAUCAAAUAAAGCAGAAAACGAUGCAGAUGACAGCUUUUCUAUGUAAAUUGGAUAUGUGACUAUGAAGUCAAAGAGUACCGAUAUAUAUAAAGUUUUCUGCCUGUCCUUGGUAUGCACGAUUAAUUCACUUUGCUGAUCAUGCUCCUGAUUUGAAACCUUUUUCCUACUCUUCCAUGGCCGUAUGCAGCAGGGGGUAGAAGCCCUGCCCCCCCCCAAAAAAAUGAAAACUUACAUGUUUAUACCGAAAAUGUUUGCAAAAUUCACCAACAGUGCACAAAAUCCUUCAAUUUUACAAAAGAAAGAUACAAAGGCGCCCCAUGACAAAAUCGGUUUGCUGCGCUCUCUUGCAUUUGAGUUUAUUCGAAAUAUUUUAUGCACCUUGCACCCCCACCCAGAUUUUUUUUUUUUUUGCAUAUCCAUGGCCAACAUAAUUAGCUGGACCUAUUUUAAGUCUCCUUUAAGUGUAUCAAAAACACUGAUUUUCAAGAAAAAGGGUGGUUUUGAAAGACUGGUCAAUGGUCAAUCGUGGGGUCAAACGUGUUUAGGGUAUGUUUUUUCCCCAAAGCUUUUUUUUUUAAGACUAGCCAACAUGUUUAGGGUAUGUUUUUUGGUCACGCGUGUGUACAGCAAUAUAUUUGACUCCCCCCCCCACCGGGAGAUAACGGUUAUUGCACCCAUUUUCAG